rnacentral:lncRNA from 1 species
GUUGCGGAUGGUUGGGGUGGGUGGUGGCAUGCUGAAUCGAGAUAGGAGGGCGGUAGGAGAGGAUAGGUCCUCGAGUGUGUCUACCUGCCUAGGGCCACGCUUCCCCUUCUCCAGACAGAUGCAUGGCGUCCAAGGAUGGCGCUUGUCGCGCAUCGUACCCGCGUGCUCUCGGUUAUGCCUCUGCAGCUGAUGGCGUUGUACCUAGUGAACACUGCAUGGCGGCCUUGCCAUCUCCUCUUGGAAAAUCACGGCCGGACCUCCUUGCUGGUGAGUCAUUCGUUCCCCUUUUCUACCCGACCAGUUGAGGCCCUCGCUCUCUAUCCUUGUGCCCAUUGCAGACACUUGACUCUCCUAUUUCUCUCUAAUCCUUAGGUCUAGACAGCCGAGCCCCAACAAUCCCACACGUAAGAUGCUCAGCUUGAUUUAUGUGCAUUCUUAUCUGCUGCCUCUUGUGUUGAUCUUGGCCAGGGGACUGGUUUCAUGUUUUGUGAUACCGUGUUGUAUGUUGUGCCUGUAGCUAACCUCCUCAAGAGAUGGCGUUGGUGACCUAAGCUCGUGGGGAUCAUACGUUCUUCCUUGGGUGCAUCGUCUUAGGAGGUUUGUAAUCUCUUCCUUGUCUAACAAUUCUAUAUAGGAGUCCUUUGUUGCUGUCCUUGGCCACCAGAUUGUUGUAGAGGACUUCAACUUUUGUGGGAAGAUGUUUUCUUUUGGGUCUCAUGGUUAGAGGUGUGAUUUAAGUAGGCUGCUGCCAGGUCUUUCUGCUGAAACAUGGAUUGAUUGGCCAUUGUAUACACUGCUCCAAUUUAUCCUUCCUGAAAUUAUGAUGUUCUUUGCCAGUGUAGUGGUGAGGCAUGCCCUCAGAGAUAAAAAUCCUUUGAUUCUAAUUAACACGUAAAGAUAACAUGGUUCUAGAGACUAAAGUUGACUCUAUGAUUCUUGGUGACCGCAUACAGAGUAAUAAUGUUGACACUGUUUUUGGACACGUAUCUUUUGACACGUACCUGGGGAUUAGUAAAGCAUAGAUCGGCGGAUGAAGCAACGGUAACUAGUCUGCAGGGAAGUUGCUAAUGAAGAGGCAGUUAAAUGUGACUAAGUCCAGAGGUGGUGACGUGUUCGUGCCGAUGCUCAGUGUUAGUGUUUGUCGAUGGCCACAACUGGAGGUCUGUCGAUGACUCUGAAGGAAAGCGUGGAGAUUGCCGAUUGAUCUGUGGCGGUGCCCCGGUCGGUUACAAGAGGGUAGUUUUAUAUUUUCCUUAGUUAUUAGAAUUCGUUUUGUGUACGGGUUCCGUUUAGUUUGGAAUUCGAGUCCUGGUCGUGUCUGGUUGUAGCUCUUCAGACAGGGUAUAAAUAUAGACCCUAAGGCAAUGUAGUGAGACAAUCUAUCAAUCAAUUAAACACAAGUUUUUACUCAUAUUCCAACAUCUACUUUUUCGACGACUUCGUCAUAUUUUCUUUUUAUUACGAGUUCUUAGGAAUUCGUCGACUUAAGCUCGGCGUGUUCUCAAGUUCCGCGUGAUCACCUCUUGGCCGUGACAUCCGGGCGCAUCGCUGUUGUCGGGACUAAAGUGAUCGAGUUACCACCUUUGUCGAUUGAAAGGUCAAAUCGGCUGGCACGCCUUAACGUUUAAAUCGGGUAUUAGCCCUUUGUGUUCGCAAAUCAGUUUUGCAUCAACAAAUAAUUACAUGGUUCUAAAUGGCAUGUUUGACGAAAUUGUGCAAAUUCCCUUUCCAUAGCAAAAUGGUUUGCUCCAUAUGUAAAUAUAUUUUGUCACAUAGUUUAAGAUUGUAUGGCUAUCAGGCUAGCUAGAGUUGGUUAGUUUACUUGCUUAGCUCUAAUAAUAAUUGAGGUGUCCGAAGAUGCUAUGCUUGGAUAUGUUCCAUCCCUUCGUCGCAGCAUAGUUGCCAUCAGUAAGAACAAUCAGAUGGUCACCUAAAGCUAAAUGCCAACAGAGGAAUUGUGUACAUAUUUUAGAGAUUGUCACUACUAUUUUCAGUAUUGUAGGUAUACGUGUAGAUAUCGGUUUCAAGUUUGUUUAAACCAGCUAGUUAUCUGAUAUUUUCUAGGAGAACAUGUGUGCUUCAUUAGCAUGCUCUGCUUAGUUGCUAUUUGCAUGAGACUUGCUACAUGUGUCUAUUUCUUUGGUUCCGAUCUGUACAUGUUGAAUGUUUCAGCAGAAAGUGCACGGACUGAAGGCACCUUUAAAUGGCUCUAAUUUCAUUUUGCAUAUGUAUGUCUUAAGAUGCUAAUAUUGUGUGUCUAUUUGUUUGAUUCUGAUUCGUACAUGUUGAAUGUUUCUGCAGAAAUGCAAGGCCUGAACGCACCUAUAAACUGCUCUGAUUUCAUUAUGCAUAUGUAUGGCUUGUUUUGCUUGAACUGGCUGUUCUUAAGAUGCUAAUAUGCGGUUACGGUUACUAUUCUUUUCAUGCCCUCUCCAUUCUUACUGAUCUAAUGUAUUUGGCGUAUGUGACUACACUAAUACUGUUCUUUUGGUGAUCUCUCCAUUAUCCAUCUUCUUUGCUUGUGUAAAAGAGGUACUUGUGCCUGGCCCAGACUUACUACAACAUCUACUCAUUGAGCUUAUGUAUCUUGUAGGGAAGGCUGCAGGCUCUAGUGCUGAUCCGCCGCUUUCCAGUGUGCAUUUGUGCCACGUUUCAACUGUAAGUCCGCUAUAUGUGGUCAUGAUGUUCGUAAUGUUUGUAGGGUUUUGCUGCUUGUGUGUUUUACUUCCUGUAAGUCCACCGUAUUAUUAAUAUAUAGUCUAACUUUUCCAAAAUAACAUUUAAUAUUCAGUUCUUGUCAAGUUGAAUUAACUGAUUCAUCUUCGUAAGGUUAUAUCUAAAAAUAUUAUAUUCAGACAAACAAAUCAUUUUCAUAUUUACAUGGCAUGUGGCACUUGCAAUAAGAAGAUUUUCUUUUUUGUUUAUGGUACAAACAUCAGCCUCAUUGUCUCUUGUAUUAACAAUGCAGCAACUCAAGAUAACUAAUUAGUGAAGGAAGGUCAAAGUGCUUUUGCUUCUACCAGUUGCAGUGAAGUGCUCUUUAGUGUGUAUCUGAAACCUCGCUCACAAUUGAUGUUCACCACUUUUUUAGUUUCUCUGUAGCUUUAUAAAUGUACUCUAAUGAUCAACCGUAUAUUUUGGAUCGGCAUUCUAAGCUACCAACCAUAGUGCUCGGUAGCUAUGAAUUCCGAUCUAAACUAUAAUGAAUCAGUAUGUAAUGUAUGGCCGCAUAGAACCAUAAUGGCUAUGGUAGCCAUGCAUGUAGUGAAGGAUCUUGUAACCUGUGGCUGAACAGAACCAUAAUGGCUGCGAUGGCCAUGCACCUUUGAGUGCUUCAUUUCAUCUAGAUUUCUCUUCUCCUGUGAAAAUGUUAGUUCAUGUUUUGUGCCUACCAAUUUUAGUGGAACAAGAGGCACCGUUUGAUGAAUUACUAGGAUGUGAUGGUUAUAUGUAUAGUGUAUGAUUCGCAGACCAGAUACAAUAGAGCUUGUAUAUUAUUGUGUUAAUUAGAUCUUAGUGUUGUUGUGUAAUUACAGAUCCAUAUCUAUUAAGCGUUGAA